rnacentral:rRNA from 1 species
GACGAACGCUGGCGGCGUGCCUAAUACAUGCAAGUCGAACGCCGUGGGGACGGGUGAGUAACACGUGGUUAACCUCCCCCUCAGAGGGGAUAACACUUGGAAACAGUUGCUAAACCGAUACUUAUGGCUGGACCCGCGGUGCAUUAGCUAGUUGGUGGGGUAACGGCUCACCAAGGCCACGAUGCAUAGCCGACCUGAGAGGGUGAUCGGCCACACGGGGACUGAGACACGGCCCAGACUCCUACGGGAGGCAGCAGUGGGGAAGAUUGCAGAAUGGGCGCAAGCCUGAUGCAGCCAUGCCGCGUGUAUGAAGAAGGCCGUCGGGUUGUAAAGUACUUUCAGAGGGGAGGCGUUACCCGCAGAAGAAGCACCGGCUAACUCCGUGCCAGCAGCCGCGGUAAUAC